rnacentral:rRNA from 1 species
UACGUAGGGGGCAAGCGUUGUCCGGAAUUAUUGGGCGUAAAGAGCGUGUAGGCGGUCCGGUAAGUCAGCUGUGAAAGUCAAGGGCUCAACCCUUGAAUGCCGGUUGAUACUGUCGGGCUAGAGUCCGGAAGAGGCGAGUGGAAUUCCCGGUGUAGCGGUGAAAUGCGCAGAUAUCGGGAGGAACACCAAUGGCGAAGGCGGCUUUCUGGUCUGUAACUGACGCUGAGGCGCGAAAGCGUGGGGAGCAAACAGG